rfam:Aedes albopictus isolate Foshan contig89518, whole genome shotgun sequence.
UAAACGGUCCUUUUCAGGACCACAGAAAAUUUUUCUUUGAGAGUUAU